CCAGAGCCGCGGUAAUACGGAGGAUGCAAGCGUUAUCCGGAAUGAUUGGGCGUAAAGAGUCCGUAGGUGGUUGUGAAAGUCUGUGGUUAAAGCGCGAAGCUCAACUUCGUACCGGCCAUGGAAACUAUGCAACUAGAGUGAGAUAGGGGUAGAGGGAAUUCUUGGUGUAGCGGUGAAAUGCGUAGAUAUCAAGAAGAACACCGGUGGCGAAAGCGCUUUACUGGCUCUUAACUGACACUGAGGGACGAAAGCUAGGGGAGCGAAAGGGAUUAGAUACCCCUGUAGUCCUAGCCGUAAACGAUGGAUACUAGNUGUUGCGNGUAUCGACCCCUGCAGUGACGAAGCUAACGCGUUAAGUAUCCCGCCUGGGGAGUACGCACGCAAGUGUGAAACUCAAAGGAAUUG
rnacentral:rRNA from 1 species